UGCAUAGAGUAAGAGUAGUAUGUAAGCUUGAAAACAGCAAAACACGAGAAGCAAUCUAAAGCUAUUUUGGGAAAAUAAUUGAUAAACAACUUGUGAUAUAUUCAUAGAAUGAUGUGUUACACAGAAUUAACCAAGAGGAGAGAGCUAGCUCUUAGUAAGUAAAAAUAGGUAAAUCGUUGAAAACCAUGAUGAACAACAAAAAAAGUUCCUGGAACCAAUCCCCCAUGGAUACUGAAGGCUGACAGUACUGGCUAUCACUCCAUUCCUCUGCUGAUUCUUCCCCCUUCAUAUGGUUCAUUUUCAGCAGGUGGUCAAGGCAAAAGACUAUUCAAAAAUCAUGAAAUAAGUAUUAUCGUCUCAUCUAAUAGGACCGCUAAAUUUUUAAAGAAUAAUCACUGCC